CGCAAAACUCUAAAACAGAGUUUCUCGUACAAAGUCUUUAGGGAGUCCAUUCGCUCUUCCAAGGAAUAUAUUUAAAACUAACCCACGCUCCACCGCCUGUUCUACACGCGCCGCUAAGUAAAAACUUGUUCAAAAUGGCUGAAGAAAAGAAGGAAGAAAUCAAGUCGUUUAAAGAUUUAGGCUUAUGCGACGAAUUAGUGGAAGCAUGCGAUAGUUUAAGUUGGAAAACCCUACCAAAAUCCAAGUCGAACCCAUACCCCACGCGCUCAUAGGGAAGGAUUUGGUUGGGCUUGCGCAAACUGGGAUAAAAAUCUGCACCCGUGUUCUUCGCUUUGGUGCUUUCCCCAACACGGGAGCUUGCCAGUCAAAUUGCGGAACAAUUUGAAGCUUUAAGAUCUGGGAUUAGCCUGAAAUGUGCAGUGCUUGUUGGAGGGGUGGACCUAAUGCAACAACAAAUUGCCCUUGGAAAGUGGCAACCCAUCAUUGUAAGUUCAUCUUUUGCUUCCUUGCUAUAUUCUGAAAAGUGUUUGUGCUAUGAAGCAAUUUUGAGCCUAAAGGAUCUGGGUUAAGUAGAUCUGUGAGAAAAGACCUUAUUGUAAUUAUGAAGCUGCAGAUUACAGUAUGAUGGACAAAAUUGAUUGUAAGUUUCGGAGUGUAAUGUGUGUUGAGCCUUUCUAAGUUGCUUAUUUUCUAUGAUGUAGUGACGAAGGUUAUGCUUGGUGGUUUUCAGUGUACUCAUGCUUGAUUUUUUUGA